GAGAUCAUUUGUAUCUGAAGUGGCUCCUCCAGUGCUCCAGGAUCUUCUGGACCUUCUGGACCUUCUGGAUCUUCAGGAUCUUCUGGACCUUCUGGAUCUUCAGGAUCUUCUGGACCUUCAGGAUCUUCUGGACCAGAGAGCUCAUGUCAAAGAUGGAUCUGCAUGUGUGUGUCGGACUGGUGCUCCUCCUCUCUCUCCUCUCAUUCGCCCACCUCAGUCCUCUGACACACACACUCCACAUGGGACAAAGCCACAUACACACGCAGCUCCAGACUCGAGUGAAGAGAGACAAACCACAGGAGAGCCAGAAGACUGUUACUGGCAAACAGAGGGAGCCGUCGGGCUGUCAGCUCUCUACCUGCGCCCAGCACCACCUCCCCUAUGCCCUCUACAUCCUCCAACAGGAACGACUCAAGGACAAGAGUCCUCCGGAGGGCAAGAUGGAGAAAUACGGGAGGAGGAGGAGGAGGAGGAGAGGCGUGUGAGAGCGAAGAGGAGGAGAAAGAGGAGAAGGGAAGGAGGGGAGUCUGAGGGAGAAGAGGAGAAGAGUGUAAGAAAGACGAGAGGGAAGCGGGGGAGGGGGAGAGGAGAGGAGUGUGAGAGAGAAUAGGAGAGGAGGAGUAAAAGAUACAGGAGAAAGAGAGGAGCGUUAGAGAGAAAAGGAGAAAGAAAAGAGGAGGAGAAAGGGGGGAGGAAAGGACUGUAAGAGAGAAAAGAAGAGGAGGAGGAUGGAGAGAUACUGGAGGAGUACGAGAGGAGGAGGACGAAGAGAUAUAGGAGGAGGUUACACAUAAAACUGUUAAAAUAAUACUGUAGUAUUUAAAGGCGUAUUUAUUCAUAUAUUUGUAUAAAUCAGAUGAGUUUUCGUAUGUUUCACGUUGAUCCUGGUCGAACUGGAUGUGCCUUGUGCUGUGCUCCCUCCUGUCGUUCAAAUAUUGAACAUGUCAAAACAGUUUAUUUUUUUCUGAAUCUGAAUGUACUUUUGAGAAUACGAUUUUUGUAUUUUUAUAUUGUUCUAAUUGUUUUUGUAAUAAUUUGGAAGUUAACUGUAUAUAAUAAUACAAUUUCAAUACUGUUAGC
ensembl:lncRNA